rnacentral:rRNA from 1 species
UGGGUAACCUGCCUCAAAGAGGGGAAUAGCCUCCCGAAAAGGGAGAUUAAUACCGCAUAAUAUGUUUAAGUCGCAUGACUUUAACAUCAAAGGAUUUUCUUUUAAGAAAAUUCCACUUUGAGAUGGACCCGCGGCGCAUUAGCUAGUUGGUGAGGUAACGGCUCACCAAGGCAACGAUGCGUAGCCGACCUGAGAGGGUGAUCGGCCACAUUGGAACUGAGACACGGUCCAGACUCCGUAGGGAG